GUCAUGGUCGGUGUGCAGUUAGACCCAACACAGAGAGACAGAAGCAGGAUUAACGGUCGAGCAGGUUUAUUCGGUGCAGGAAAACCAGGAGGACUGCAGCCUGGCAGCAGCGUCACAGGUUGGAUCGAGAAGAAAACAAGUUGUUGCAGUGCAGCUUUGGUAAGAAGUCUAUCAAACACUCUGGGUCCUGGAUAAAAGCCUGAGUCCUCCGUACACCGUCACACCGUCAAGAUGUUCGUUCUGAAGACUUUCCUUCUGCUGCUGGUUGCUGGAGCUGUGCUGGUGUCAGGAACUGCUCCAUCCACCGCCACGGAGGAAACUCAAACUGAAGCUGUACGGGCUCAACGUGACCUCUUCAACCGUGUACCUCCAGGAGCAGGACUGGCAGGAAAUGGAGUACCUCCAGGACUUGGACUGGCAGAAAAUGGUGAGUGAAUGUCUGACAUCUUUGAAAUUUUCCUGCACACCCCCUGAAGCUGUGAUAUAAUAGGAUGAGAUGUAUGACCCUUCCUCACCUUGGUUAUGAAUGCCCAUUGUUAUUUCCAUCCAUAUAUUUAGAGUUGGUCCAUUUCCUCAUGACAGCCUUUUUAAGGGCCACCAGCAGCAUAUUCAACAAACAUCUGCCACUUUUCACCAAUUUUUCAGGCAGAAAUCUAAAAAAAAGUCUUAUUCUCCAAAAGAACAUGGCAUCUGAAAAUACCUUGUAAGGGACGAUGCAGCUCUGUCCAGAAGUGCUGAAUGACAGGACAGUCCCAGAAAACAUGGUCAUGAUGUGCAUUAUUGACAUUCCCACAGUUUCUCCAGCAAUCAGAGGAGUUUCCACCAUCAUGGGAUUUCUGAGAGGGUUUAAUAAAAUAUCUUAUUAGAGCUUUCCAACAAGACUGUCUCAGUUUUGUGAGAGGUACAUUUCCAUUGAUGCAUCCAUGUGUUUGUCCUUUCUUCAUCAGAUAUAAUUAUCCCGCUUCCUUCUUCCAUUUCUUAAACUUGUCCUGUCCAGCA